rnacentral:rRNA from 1 species
UACGUAGGUGGCAAGCGUUGUCCGGAUUUAUUGGGUUUAAAGGGUGCGUAGGCGGCCCUGUAAGUCAGUGCUGAAAUAUCCCGGCUUAACCGGGAGGGUGGCAUUGAUACUGCGGGGCUAGAGUACAGAUGAGGUAGGCGGAAUUGACGGUGUAGCGGUGAAAUGCUUAGAUAUCGUCAAGAACACCUAUAGCGAAGGCAGCUUACUAGGCUGUAACUGACGCUGAGGCACGAAAAGUGUGGGGGAUCAAACAGG